rnacentral:rRNA from 1 species
AUGGUGCUUGGGUUUUAGAUUAAGCAUUUAGCCUGCUCACUGUGAUAUAAAGCGCUGCAGUAUUUUAACUGUGCAAAGGUAGCAAAAUCAUUAGUCUUUUAAUUGAGGACUAGAAUGAAAGGCCAGACAAAAACUUUCUGUCUUGGGCUUAAUAGUUGAAGUUUUCUUUUUUGUUAAAAGACAAAGAUGUUAUUUAAAGACAAGAAGACCCUGUUAAACUUUAUUGGCUUAGUGAUUAUUAUUUUAGUUAUUUAAUUAACAUUAGUAAGUAAAUUUUAUUGGGGCGAUAAAUAUUAUACUAUAUUUUAAUAAACAGAUAAUAAUUGGAUUUUUUAAGGAGCCUGCUAUGAAAGGUAUUAGAGGAAGUUACUACAGGGAUAACAGCGUAAUGUUUUUAUGAAGUUCUUAUUUAUAAAGGUGUUUGCGA